GGAUCAGUACGCUGGUCGUGCCUUCGGUAUGUACUGGUGUUACUGGUUCCUACCUUCUGACGAACCGUCAUGUCAUUAAUUUGGUGUGGCGGGGAAUCAGGACUGUUACUUUGAAAAAAUUAGAGUGUUCAAAGCAGGCCUUUGCUCGAAUAUGUUAGCAUGGAAUAAUAAAACAGGACG
rnacentral:rRNA from 1 species